AUCAACUUUCGAUGGUAGGAUAGAGGCCUACCAUGGUGGUAACGGGUAACGGGGUGUUAGGGCACGACACCGGAGAGGGAGCCUGAGAAACGGCUACCACAUCCAAGGAUGGCAGCAGGCGCGCAAAUUACCCAAUCCCGACACGGGGAGGUAGUGACAAUAAAUAACAAUACGGGGUCCUUUCGGGUUUCGUAAUUGGAAUGAGUACAAUUUAAAUCUCUUAACGAGGAACAAUUGGAGGGCAAGUCUGGUGCCAGCAGCCGCGGUAAUUCCAGCUCCAAUAGCGUAUAUUAAAGUUGUUGCAGUUAAAAAGCUCGUAGUUGAAUUUCGGGAUUAGUACGUUGGUCGUGCCUUCGGUACGUACUGGUGUUACUGAUUCCUACCUUCUGACGAACCAUCAUGUCAUUAAUUUGGUGUGGCGGGGAAUCAGGACUGUUACUUUGAAAAAAUUAGAGUGUUUAAAGCAGGCUCGCGCUUGAAUACAUUAGCAUGGAAUAAUGAAAUAGGACGUUGACCCUAUUUUGUUGGUUUCUAGGAUUGACGUAAUGAUUAAUAGGGAUAGUUGGGGGCAUUAGUAUUCAAUUGUCAGAGGUGAAAUUCUUGGAUUUAUUGAAGACUAACUACUGCGAAAGCAUUUGCCAAGGAUGUUUUCAUUAAUCAAGAACGAAAGUUAGGGGAUCGAAGACGAUCAGAUACCGUCGUAGUCUUAACCAUAAACUAUGCCGACUAGGGAUCGGAUGAUGUUAUUUUUAAUGACUCAUUCGGCGCCUUACGGGAAACCAAAGUGUUUGGGUUC
rnacentral:rRNA from 1 species